rnacentral:piRNA from 1 species
UGACAGUGUACGAUAAACCUAAGGACCUGGGU